rnacentral:rRNA from 1 species
AGCGAACGCUGGCGGCAGGCUUAACACAUGCAAGUCGAGCGGACCUUUCGGGGUCAGCGGCGGACGGGUGAGUAACGCGUGGGAACGUGCCUUCCGGUUCGGAAUAACCCUGGGAAACUAGGGCUAAUACCGGAUACGCCCUUAUGGGGAAAGGUUUACUGCCGGAAGAUCGGCCCGCGUCUGAUUAGCUAGUUGGUGGGGUAACGGCCUACCAAGGCGACGAUCAGUAGCUGGUCUGAGAGGAUGAUCAGCCACACUGGGACUGAGACACGGCCCAGACUCCUACGGGAGGCAGCAGUGGGGAAUAUUGGACAAUGGGCGCAAGCCUGAUCCAGCCAUGCCGCGUGAGUGAUGAAGGCCUUAGGGUUGUAAAGCUCUUUUAUCCGGGACGAUAAUGACGGUACCGGAGGAAUAGGCCCCGGCUAACUUCGUG